GUAGUUUCAAAAAACUAGUCCAUUUAAAAAAUGAUCCUUUUUAUGGAGUGAAAGAAUACAAUACUCAGAGUGGUUCCAUGCUCAAGUUCCAAGAUGCAAAUUUUUUUAUGCAAGUCUCAUAUUCAAUUAAUAGCCCCGAGAUUAUGAAAGAUCCAUUACCUUCUCAAUUGCAGAUUCAGGUAUUGCCAACACAACACAAAGCAGCAUUAAAAUUCAUGUCAUUCUAUAAUGGUAUUUUCCAAAAUGUACUUUUUCCAAACACUUUCCAAAAUGUACUUUUUCAGGUUGCUUUAAAAAUUUUAAUAUAAAAUUUAACAAUUAAAAAUGUAUUUUAUAGUCAGAAUAGCAGGAACUCUUUGUAAGUACUGAGGGAUUAUCACUAAAUAAAAUGUAUAGCAAGUGUGCUAUAGCAGUAUUCUUCUGUAAGAGAUAUCCAGAGUUAUUGACCUGAGAGAAGGAGGAGAAAUGCAUGUAUGAAUGCAAAGAAUCCUGUUUUUCUUCAGCAGGGUACUGAAAACUAAUUCUUCUUCAUGAGGGAAGGCAAACAACCCUCUCUCUGGUCUCUUUUCUACUAUGAUUCAUUUUUUGGUCUAAGUUUUUUCCCAAACCAAGAGUAGACUCCCUCCUGAGUCUCUAUUGACUUACCUGGCUGCCAACAAAGGAAGGCUACUAGUUUCUUGGAAUUCAUAUAAUUAUAUUUCUGUGGGCACUCAUAAAGAGCCAUCAGCUCUGUCCUUGCACACCCCACUUCUAGACUUGCCUCCAGCCGGGGGUGGUAAUAACUGAAAAGAAAACAUUUCUUGACCUACUCCAGUACCUCAUAAAUCGAAAUGUAUCCCUUCAACUAACACUCAAAUUCCAUCUUAUUAAUAUAACUGCCAAACUAAAUUAAGUCCAAUUUUACUUUUUUGUUUACCUCCUAUACAAUGGAAUCAUAUUUUUUCAUAUUAAAAUUUUAGCAAAUAAUAUGUCACCUACCAUUUGCACCUCCACACGAUGCUAGAGAAUUAAGUUGGGAAAGUCAGACCUCCAAUGCUCUUGAUACAAAUAAGUCCUGACCAAAGAUUUAACCAGAAUGUUCCCUCAGUGCUGCUAAAUAAAUAUUUAUUUAUGUAUGUAUUUAUGUAAUACUUCUCCUUUGAAAAGAGAACUUGAGGUAGUCUCCAGAAAUAUACACAUACCAGUGGAAGAAAAACAGACCAAUCUGUGGAAAUUAAAGCAAGAAGAAAGAUAAGCUGGAAGAAAAUAUAUAUUGAAGCAGUAAUGUUGGUGCCUGCCAUACUGGUCUUAGCGUUCUGAUAGGUUCCUGCAUGUUGGUGGUAAUUUUGAAACAGACUAUCCUAAUAAUCCAGGCAAAUAUAGUUUGAAAGCACAAUUAGUCAUGAGACUACCCAUGUUGCUGGCCAAAAUCACACUGCUGUGAGAGACAGCACAGUUGUUCCUGUUCCUGAGAUGCAUGAGGAAUUUUUCUCAUGGUUCCUUAUGAAGUAGACACUGAGUGAUUGGUAGCUAUUAGUGGGAAGCAGGAUAUCUGGGAAGAAGAGGGAAAAAUGACAGCAUUGCACAAAUUUGAGGGAAUGGAUUCUUUGCCUUUAUCAUAUUUAAUGUAAGCUCCUAGUGAUUAAUGAGUUUGAAAUGCCUGGUCAUCUACAUAUGUGUGCCUGAUUCCAGGAGAGAUGGAGUCUGACAGUUUGUAUAGCAGCUAAGUUCAUGGGAAUGGAGUCUGCUGCCUAAGGCCCUGAGCAGCCUUUAUUGCAAAUUCUGUAGAGUAACCCGCUGUGUAGCAAACAGUCAGGAUCACUUAUUAUUAUUUACAGACUUUCCAAAGCUCUCAUCAAAUAGGAGCCCCACACUGUCAAUUUCUGGAAAUAUCAAUGCUUAAUGCUUCCCCAUUCACAAAGUAUGGGGAAGGUGUUGUCAAUCUGGGGAUAGAGGGGAGACUUGUGCCACGUUUUAGAGGAUGGCACUUUGGAACUUAGGGAUACAGAAGUCUAAUGUGAGGACAGCCAUUUGGCGGUCACCUGUCUUAUUCACAAGAGAGGAAUUAACUUCAUAGCAUCCCUAUUGUUUGAAAAGGGGACUUACUGAGUGCCAUCUAUGUGCAAGCUAAUAGGUAAACAGUAAUAUGUUUUCCAAAAGCAGAUGGAAAUUUUGAGAGUCCCAAAGCUUAUAUAAUUAAGGGCAAAGAGAAGGUUUAAGAAAUUUAUAAAUAUAAAACUAUGUAUAAGACUGCGCAUGUAGGCCAUGCAGAGGAGGUAAAGUGCAAGCUUUGGUAACUUCACAGAAAAUCUAUCUAUGAUGGUGUUCUCCUAUAAUCCUCAGAGUAACCAAUGAUCUGAGUGAAACUCUCUCCAUGUGACACAGGACAAAACUGAGAUCCAAUUUUUGUAGUUGCCAAAUUUUGCAAAUAAAAACAAUGGACUUUAAGUUAAAUAAAAAAUUUAAAUGCAAACAGAAAAGGCAAGCAACCUUUAUAAUCCUCUCUUUCACAGAUGACUUCUUUUGUCAUUUAGUUUUUUAUAUCUUCUGACUUUCUUAUGCAAAUAGCUAUAUAUUGCUUUAAAAAAGAAUCAGUGUUAUACAUUCUUUUAAAUACAAAGUGACUUAAAAAAACACAACUUUAUUUUCUUUGUGCUGGGCCUUGUAUGUGAUGAUAGAGAUUUGGCAAUCAAUUAUCAGGAUUUGGAUGAAAAAAAUCAGCAAGUAGAAUACCAGAUGUGAAAACUUCCCACAGAAAUUCUUCUUCCUUUGAAGUGUGAGAUUAAUGAUCUAUAUCAGACGGUCGGUUGACCGUAUUGCAGUUAGACCUAAUGUGAAACAUUUCAGAUGGCUACCGGAUGAUACAGGUAUGGCUGAUAAAAAGCCCCUCAGAAUUGAGAUAAAUCGGCUUGGUCUCAUCAUUAUCUCAUAGAGCAAUGCAGGCAAAGGAAAAAAAAAUAUGUCUCUUGACUGAUUAUUUGAGUUCUUAUUGCAGAUUUAAAAUAAAAUAAAUCAGUGGGAUUACAUGUCAAAUUUAUCUACCAGAAUUGUCACCUAAUAUAUAUAGAUAUUGGUUUUCUUUCAGAGGAGAGGGAAAAUAGAGAAAAAUGGAUAACUUGUCAUAAAUGUAAAACUUCAGAGAGAACUAACAGAAGCGUGCAAGCUAUGUUUUUACAGGCAAAACUUUUUUCUUCUAUAGAACAAGCCUAUAUUAAGCAACAUCGGCGACUCAACUGUUUGUCCCAGUGCAGAAUUUAGGGCUGCCUUCACAUGAAGCAAAAGGAAGUGUCAAAUAAAUUAUUGGAAAACUGCGUUUCAAUACCUGCAUUACCUUGUCUGGCUAUACAGAGUUAACUUGGGUUUCCUAAGAAUUUUCUGGGAAUUUUUACUGAGUAUGCCUGGUCAAAGUAGAAUAAUCUACAUAAUCACCUGUGAUUGUCCCUAAGGAUAACCUGCCCUUGACUCUAUGUCUGACUUCCAUCUUUGAAACCAACACCUAUUGUUACAAGGAGGAGGGACCAUAUGGUAAUAUCUACAAUUAACAGAUAUUCCACAGUCAAUUCCUUAGUAGAAUAGAGAAAAGAAAAAGUGCUGGUCUGGGACCCUGGAGACUUGAAAUCCGGUCAUGAAUCUAACAAUGUCAACACACAAGUUGGCAAGUUGACGCAACGCCAACUUACACAACUUGUACAAUUUACCCAUUCUUGUCUGGGUGCAGUGGCUCACGCCUGUAAUCCCAGCAUUUUGGGAGGCUAAGGAGGGCAAAUCAUCUGAGGUCAGGAGUUCAAGACCAGUCUGGCCAACAUGGGAAAACCCUGUCUCUACUAAAAAAUGCAAAAAUUAGCUGGGCAUGGUGGUGCACGCUUGUAAUCCUAGCUCCUAGGGAGGCUAAGGCACGAGAAUCCCUUGAACCUGGGAGGUGGAGGUUGCAGCAAGCCAAGAUAGAACCACUGCACUCCAGCCUGGGAAACAGAGGGAGGCUCUGUCUCAAAAACAAAACAAAACAAAACAAAUAACCAAAACUUACCCAUUCUUUAUCUUAGUAUCCUCAACUACAAGAUAAGAUUUUAUUGACUCUUUGAGCCCACUCUUAGGAUUCUCAGCUCUAAAAUUAUUUCAAAGGUUUUUUUUUGUCUUCUUGUAAGUUCUGAAUGCAUAUUUCAGUUUGAAAGUUUACCAGUGCUUCUCUCCUCUGCUGAAAAUGUGCUACUAAGUUUAUAAACACACACCUGUUUGAGAAAUAGAUAAACAUUAUAACAAACUUCUACAGCUAUUUUGAAGAUUGAAAACUAUUUGCC
rnacentral:lncRNA from 10 species